UCUAGCUCUCUCUAGCGCUUCUCUCUCCAGUUCCCUCUGUCGCACCCCAGGUGUCUGCUCUCUAUUCUGCUCACCUUACUUCUCCUAAGCACUAUCCUACCUAGGGUCUAUCAGAAACUUUCAGAUAAAAGAUCUGGUGGAAACAGAAACAUUCUUCCAGAGAAGCUGAUUCCUAAUACAGUUCCAAAAAUGUGCAGGAAAGGAUUAGUUUCCUGCUUGCCUGUCCCUGGCUGCCUGGCCAAGUUCCAGGGAAAUAGUGCUCCCUCAUUCCCUAAGGACUCCACCAGCCCCAGCCCUCAGGACCUUCAGGAUCCCCGGGUCCUCAACAGUUACCUAGGUGUCAGCCACAGAGAGCUCCCAGUGUAUCCAGUUUCCCAGGGAAUAAAUUCCUAUCAGAUGUCCCAAAGCUUUCUAGCUGAGAUGUGGGGACUUGGAGAGCUAGAGCUCUCCAGAUAUUUUGGAUAGAUGUACUGCUGUCAAAGCUCAGAAUUUCUCAUGGAUAACUCUGCUCUUGUGCUAACAAACUGCCCAUGAGUUGCACUUCACAGGUUUCUGGUUUUGCAGUACAGCUACAAUCCUCUUCCUAUGGCCUGCAGAGACACCUUGACACUUGCUGGGCGAGGGUCUGGGGGAAAGGUAUAACACAUUCUACCAGCAGUGCUUGGUUUGAGGAUUCCUGGUCUGAUUCAGACUGGAAGUGUUUUUCUAUCCACCAGUAACAUUCUCUAGAAUCAGAUACACUUGCCUUCUAUUCUGACUAGGCCCCUAUCUCCUGUCACACUGUACUUCUGCACCUGCCUGCCCUUUACAGCUCCUACUGCUACUCUUCUUAUAGCAACCUCUCUCCUUCUCCCUCCUGUCCUCCUCUGACCCCUGUUACCUGCAUUUCCACAGCCCUUUCCUCCUCAUGUUUGCAGAGGAGUCAGUGAGUUUCCUUCUCCUCCCUUCAUGACCACCAACAGAGGGAACACCUAGUACAGCCGGUAGCUUUGCAUUUCUGAAAUAGCUGUAAGACUUGGAAAGGAUCCAGUAUCAAAUGUUUCUGGGUUGCGGCCAACACUGAGUGAUGGAUUGGAGAGCUCUUCUCCCAAGUAGGUCAGUCCAUAACAACUUCCCACAGCUGCAGAAGCACAAAGGUCACCAAUCUUUGGAGAAACACUUUCUCUCAAAGCUCCUUGCCUUUAAGAAUACCCUAGAUAAAAACCUACUGUUCUUGGUCUCAUUGACCACCUGACAAAGCCUAGAAUUCUAAUUAACCCUGUGUCCCUACAUCUAUUCUCCUCUGAAAUGCAUCUCCUGCCUGUCUGCCCAUCAGUUCAGGCUGGAGCACAGCAGACAUGCAUACACAUACGUUUUCCCAGGUGUGGCAUUGCAAGGUAGGAGAAGGGAGAAAGAGCAGACAGACCCUUAUUUUCAGGAGGGAUGAGGAAGAGAAGGAAGGAGUCGAACCUCCUAGGAUCUUGCUGCUACUUGUCUCUUCUCCUUAAAGCAAUUCCUCCAUUCUCUUUGCUGUCUAGCUCUAAAACUAUUUUUUCCUCUGAGGAAGAGAUGGAAGAGGUAUAGCAGCAGCUAUAUGGGAGAAACUGGGAGUUUGUAGGGACUCCUUUCCAUCCCCAGUCUUGGCUCUUACAGCAGUGGCAGGGGGAUAAAAAAAUUCAUUACCUCCUUUGAUGUGUUUGCACCACUUCAUGGUGAACACAUAGGUACCUGUGUUACUUCUUUGCACCAGCAAUCUGAGCAAGUGGAGACGUGCAGCAGAACCUUAUCUCCAUAGGAGGGGAGGGAUAGAGCAGCCGUGGAGUAGCUGCUGCUUCCCACAGUUUGCUUAAGUCCCUUGUUCAGCCUUCACAGAAAACAUUGCUCCUUGUAACAUUUCACCAUUGGCUCUCAGGGACACCAGGAAGGCCUGAAAAAUCGUUGUUGCACCAUGUUGCACCUCUUGCUGCCACCUCAGAUCUGCCUGUUUACACCUGCUCCAAAGGUUGGAUGACAAAGAGCACUAGGGGAUAUCCAUCUCUCCAGUUUCUCAUUCCUCUCCAACCUUGGUUCAGCUCCCAUGUAAAAGCAGUUUGGUGCCCCCAACUGUUCAUUGGGAUGGGUUGGAGAGCGAGGCAAGACACGCGGGGAGAAAAAAAUUACAGAAGUAAUCUUCCAAACCACAGUCAUGCACGCCCCGCCUGCAACUAACGGCCUGGGUUGCAGAGCUGUGGUGGGAGGGGAGGAGGGACCAGAGGGUGAUUGAGUAAAGUUCCUUCUUCCUCUUCCUCCCUCCCUGCAACCUGCCGCUUACUUCAGCUCAAGGUUUGAUACUCAAAUUUGCCUGUGUCUCCCUGCUGUUUGCCUUGGCCUGACUCUCCUUUGCCCCAGGUGCUGUCCUCAGCCACGGGUCCAGAGACAUGCAAGCUAUCAAAUGUGUCGUGGUGGGAGAUGGAGCUGUGGGGAAAACCUGUCUCCUUAUCAGCUAUACCACCAAUGCCUUCCCAGGAGAAUACAUCCCCACUGUGUUCGAUAACUAUUCCGCCAACGUGAUGGUUGACAGCAAGCCUGUAAAUCUGGGGCUAUGGGAUACAGCUGGACAAGAGGAUUAUGACCGGUUGAGGCCCCUCUCUUACCCACAGACGGAUGUGUUCCUGAUCUGCUUCUCCCUUGUCAGCCCGGCAUCUUAUGAGAACGUCCGUGCUAAGUGGUUCCCUGAGGUGCGGCAUCACUGCCCCAGCACUCCCAUCAUCCUGGUGGGCACAAAGCUGGAUCUUCGUGAUGACAAGGACACCAUUGAGAAGCUGAAGGAAAAGAAGCUAUCCCCCAUUACAUAUCCUCAGGGCCUUGCCCUGGCCAAGGAAAUCGAUUCUGUGAAAUACCUUGAGUGCUCGGCAUUGACACAACGUGGCCUCAAGACAGUGUUUGACGAGGCCAUCCGAGCAGUGCUCUGUCCGCAGCCCACCCGGCCAAAGAAACGAAUAUGCAGCCUCCUCUAGGAGGAUCCCGGCCCUGUCCAGAUGCCAGGCUCUGCACGACAUGCAGGAGAGUGAUGGCUCCAGCAUCCCGGAGCUCAGUACCUUGUGGUGGUCACUGUGCUUUUUACUUCUGCUGGCUUGAAAGACUGUUGUGGGUCUACAGCAACGAGCAAUCCUGGAGGACGUCAUGUGGCAGCGAGUUCCACAAGUGCCUGCAGUGUGCAUGGGCUGCUAGACAAUGUGCCCAAGCCCUGUCCAAAGGUAACAUAAAUUGUGUCAGCACAACUCCAGUGGAGCAGCAAUGGACUCUCAGGUACAGGUACAUAUCUACGGAAGGGCAAGGAACACAAAGUCCUUGAGACUGGGACCUAGCCACAUCCUAAACAUCAUUCAAACCAUUGAAUUCCUAAACAGGGAACCAUUGAAUUCCUAAAAAGAGGGUUGUUGUUCCCUCUCCAGUUCCCAAGCCCUAGUUUUGAUCUUCUCAGUGUUUUUUUCUGCCCUGUCACCUAUCCCACACAGCAAUGCAGAGAGAGGAGAGGCUUGCUAUAUGUGUGAAACGUAGUUUGUAUAUCUGUCUACUUGCACAUGCUGAGCUCUCCUUCCAAUACAAUUGAAGUAGCUUGCAGGACCAUUGCUGAAGCUGUUUGAGGCAAAGUAUGGGGCAAAACACUGAUUAUUGAACAAGCAAGCUGGAGACCUAGAAAUUGUGAUUGGUGACUCUGUGCUUGUGCUAACAAGUUCUCAAAGGGGUGGUUAGCAUGGCUAGAACUCUGCUGUUGCAUGGCUCUGUUUCUUCUAGGAAACAGGUCAUGGGCUCUCUGCAUGGUGCCAUGGAUACUUGCCCCUGCCAUGACACAGACAGCCACUGGGUGUUGCCCACGCCAUUCCUUCCCCCGUGAGGCCUCCUCCAGCUUGCCUCCAGCCAUCAUCUUGGCCAAAACCUAGGCUAAAGCUAUCCUGACAGUUUUGUAACCCUGUACUGACUUCAGCUGUUCCUUUGAGCUGGAAAUAAAAUUGCUCAAGUAGGUUUGGAAGCCCAGUUGUAGCCUCAGCUAUGUUCUGCUUGCAGAGAUACUCCCUGCUUCUGUCUCAGCUAAAAUUUGCCCAAGGAGUCACUCUGUUGACUGCAGGGAAGGGGAUGGAGAGGAAAGGGAAGCACUUUGUGCAGCAAAUGGGAUGGGGAAAUCCUAAUCUCCUUGCUGGGGAAAGUGCUCAUACAAAGGAGCUUGAUUUCUCAGCCCUGCCCCAUUUCCUCUGUGUGCAUACCUUGGAGCAGAGAUAAGAUCUGGCGGGAGAAUUUGAGGUUGUUGCUUUUUCCCAGUGAAAGUGAAAACCCCAUGGGAUUCUGCAGGGAGCCAGGGAAAGGAGAGAACUGAGACAGGCAGCCCUC